rnacentral:rRNA from 1 species
UUUUGCUAGUGGCCACCACCAAUUUAUUUCAUAACUUGACCUCAAAUCAGGUAGGACUACCCGCUGAACUUAAGCAUAUCAAUAAGCGGAGGAAAAGAAACCAACAGGGAUUGCCUUAGUAGCGGCGAGUGAAGCGGCAAAAGCUCAAAUUUGAAAUCUGGCUCUUUCAGAGUCCGAGUUGUAAUUUGAAGAAGGUAUCUUUGGGUCUGGCUCUUGUCUAUGUUUCUUGGAACAGAACGUCACAGAGGGUGAGAAUCCCGUGCGAUGAGAUGAUCCAGGCCUAUGUAAAGUUCCUUCGAAGAGUCGAGUUGUUUGGGAAUGCAGCUCUAAGUGGGUGGUAAAUUCCAUCUAAAGCUAAAUAUUGGCGAGAGACCGAUAGCGAACAAGUACAGUGAUGGAAAGAUGAAAAGAACUUUGAAAAGAGAGUGAAAAAGUACGUGAAAUUGUUGAAAGGGAAGGGCUUGAGAUCAGACUUGGUAUUUUGUAUGUUACUUCUUCGGGGGUGGCCUCUACAGUUUAUCGGGCCAGCAUCAGUUUGGGCGGUAGGAGAAUUGCGUUGGAAUGUGGCACGGCUUCGGUUGUGUGUUAUAGCCUUCGUCGAUACUGCCAGCCUAGACUGAGGACUGCGGUUUAUACCUAGGAUGUUGGCAUAAUGAUCUUAAGUCGCCCGUCUUGAAACACGGACCAAGGAGUCUAACGUCUAUGCGAGUGUUUGGGUGUAAAA